CACAGGCGGUGGAGUAUGUGGUUUAAUUCGAUGCAACGCGAAGAACCUUACCUGGUCUUGACAUCCCGGAGACCCUUAGGAAACUAGGGGGUGCUUCCAUCUGGAAGAAUCUGGAGACAGGUGCUGCAUGGCUGUCGUCAGCUCGUGUCGUGAGAUGUUGGGUUAAGUCCCGCAACGAGCGCAACCCUUGCCUUUAGUUGCCAGCAGUUCGGCUGGGCACUCUAAAGGGACUGCCGGUGUUAAACCGGAGGAAGGUGGGGAUGACGUCAAGUCCUCAUGGCCUUUAUGACCAGGGCUACACACGUACUACAAUGGCCGAUACAAAGGGCAGCGACACUGCGAGGUGAAGCCAAUCCCGUAAAAUCGGUCUCAGUCCGGAUUGGAGUCUGCAACUCGACUCCAUGAAGUUGGAAUCGCUAGUAAUCGUGGAUCAGCAUGCCACGGUGAAUACGUUCCCGGGCCUU
rnacentral:rRNA from 1 species